rnacentral:rRNA from 1 species
CUGGUUGAUCCUGCCAGAGGUUACUGCUAUCGAGAUUCGACUAAGCCAUGCGAGUCGAAUGUUCUUCGUGAACAUGGCGAACUGCUCAGUAACACGUGGACAACCUACCCUUGGGUUCGGCAUAAUCCUGGGAAACUGGGGAUAAUACCGGAUAGGCCACAGCUGCUGGAAUGCACUGUGGCUCAAAGCUCCGGCGCCCAAGGAUGGGUCUGCGGCCUAUCAGGGUUGUAGUGGGUGUAAUGUACCUACUAGCCUACGACGGGUACGGGUUGUGAGAGCAAGAGCCCGGAGAUGGAUUCUGAGACACGAAUCCAGGCCCUACGGGGUGCAGCAGGCGCGAAAACUUUACAAUGCGGGAAACCGUGAUAAGGGAAUCUCGAGUGCCAGCAUAUAAUGUUGGCUGUCCAGAUGCCUAAAAAGCAUCUGUUAGCAAGGGCCGGGCAAGACCGGUGCCAGCCGCCGCGGUAACACCGGCGGCCCGAGUGGUAACCGCUAUUAUUGGGUCUAAAGGGUCUGUAGCCGGCCAGGUAAGUCCCUUGGGAAAUCUGGCAGCUCAACUGUCAGGCUGCUAGGGGAUACUGUUUGGCUUGGGACCGGGAGAGGUGAGAGGUACCUUGGGGGUAGGGGUGAAAUCUUGUGAUCCUCGGGGGACCACCAGUGGCGAAGGCGUCUCACCAGAACGGGUCCGACGGUAAGGGACGAAAGCUAGGGGCACGAACCGGAUUAGAUACCCGGGUAGUCCUAGCCGUAAACGAUGCUCGCUAGGUGCCAGUCACGGUGCGACCGUGAUUGGUGCCGUAGGGAAGCCGUGAAGCGAGCCACCUGGGAAGUAUGGCCGCAAGGCUUGAAACUUAAAGGAAUUGGCGGGGGAGCACUAC